rnacentral:rRNA from 1 species
AUUGAACGCUGGCGGCAUGCCUAACACAUGCAAGUCGAACGAGAUCUUCGGGUCUAGUGGCGCACGGGUGCGUAACGCGUGGGAAUCUGCCCUUUGGUUCGGAAUAACAGUUGAAAACGACUGCUAAUACCGGAUGAUGACGAAAGUCCAAAGAUUUAUCGCCAGAGGAUGAGCCCGCGUAGGAUUAGCUAGUUGGUGUGGUAAAGGCGCACCAAGGCGACGAUCCUUAGCUGGUCUGAGAGGAUGAUCAGCCACACUGGGACUGAGACACGGCCCAGACUCCUACGGGAGGCAGCAGUGGGGAAUAUUGGACAAUGGGCGAAAGCCUGAUCCAGCAAUGCCGCGUGAGUGAUGAAGGCCUUAGGGUUGUAAAUCUCUUUUACCCGGGAUGAUAAUGACAGUACCGGGAGAAUAAGCUCCGGCUAACUCCGUGCCAGCCGCCGCGGUAA